rnacentral:lncRNA from 1 species
UUCCCAUGGGUCUAUGGACAGGAGGGCGCGGAUGGCAUCAGCUAGCUGAACUUGCUCUACGGUAGCCCAGUCAAUGCAGCGACCUGUAGUGAGGGGUCGUGCGCGUAGUAUCUGAAAUAGCUCCUCCUGCGAAGCUUGUGAAAAUUUAAGGAACAGCUCCGAACUUCGAUUGUAGCACGUACCGAGGAAGAACCCGGUCCCCUACGUCUCUUUGAGGAUU